rnacentral:rRNA from 1 species
AUUGAACGCUGGCGGAAUGCUUUACACAUGCAAGUCGAACGGCAGCACGGGGGCAACCCUGGUGGCGAGUGGCGAACGGGUGAGUAAUACAUCGGAACGUGCCCAGUCGUGGGGGAUAACGUAGCGAAAGUUACGCUAAUACCGCAUACGAUCUACGGAUGAAAGCGGGGGACCGUAAGGCCUCGCGCGAUUGGAGCGGCCGAUGUCGGCUUAGGUAGUUGGUGAGGUAAAGGCGCACCAAGCCGACGAUCGGUAGCUAGCCUGAGAGGACGACCAGCCACACUGGGACUGCGACACGGCCCAGACUCCUACGGGAGUCAGCAGUGGGGAAUUUUGGGCAAUGGGCGCAAGCCUGAUCCAGCCAUUCCGCGUGCAGGACGAAGGCCUUCGGGUUGUAAACUGCUUUUGUACGGAACGAAAAGGCUCUGGUUAAUACCUGGGGCUCAUGACGGUACCGUAAGAAUAAGCACCGGCUAACUACGUGCCAGCCGCCGCGGUAA